ACAACCACAUUGGCUGGCACGUGAGAGCAAGGCAAGCAAGUAAAAGGUGUUUUGCAUGUCUGUGAAACAAGCAAGAAGAAGCAAAGUUUGUAACCAUACAGCCAGAUCGGCCCAGGAGACAGAGACGAGACAGAUGAGGGUCGAUCCAGCCGCCGCUGGCGACGAGGGGAUCGGUCGAUCCAGCCGACAUGGGCGAUUUGUCUGCCAGGGAGAAGGGAGAAGAGGCAAUCAUUCUUCAGUUUCUGUUCAGACAAUCAUAGCAGGUGAUGGGCCCGGUGAUGAUAGCGUUCUUCUGCAUGAACGUGAACCUGGUGUUUUUGAUGCGGAUGGUGAAACAGGCAACAGCCGCAUAACCAACAACACGAGCAAGUGAACCAGAGGAUCCUAUUGGGGACGCUACAAGACCUACCAUCAUAUUACAAUCUUAGCUUCGUUGUCGUAGGGCCGGGUGAUGAUAGCAUUCUUCUGCAUGAACGUGAACCUGGUGUUCUUGACGCGGAUGGUGAAACAGGCAACAGCCGCAUAACCAACAACACGAGCAAGUGAACCAGAGGAUCCUAUUGGGGACGCUACAAGACCUACCAUCAUAUUACAAUCUUAGCUUCGUUGUCAUAGGUACUACGUGUUACAUAUGACUUCACAUAUC